UGGGGAAUUUUGGACAAUGGGGGAAACCCUGAUCCAGCCAUCCCGCGUGUGCGAUGAAGGCCUUCGGGUUGUAAAGCACUUUUGGCAGGAAAGAAACGUCAUGGGUUAAUACCCCGUGAAACUGACGGUACCUGCAGAAUAAGCACCGGCUAACUACGUUCCAGCAGCCGCGGUAAUACGUAGGGUGCAAGCGUUAAUCGGAAUUACUGGGCGUAAAGCGUGCGCAGGCGGUUCGGAAAGAAAGAUGUGAAAUCCCAGAGCUCAACUUUGGAACUGCAUUUUUAACUACCGGGCUAGAGUGUGUCAGAGGGAGGUGGAAUUCCGCGUGUAGCAGUGAAAUGCGUAGAUAUGCGGAGGAACACCGAUGGCGAAGGCAGCCUCCUGGGAUAACACCGACGAUCAUGCACGAAAGCGUGGGGAGCAAACAGG
rnacentral:rRNA from 1 species